CAAAAAGCCUGAAGGGAAUGAUUCACCAGAACAAAUACAAUAAUCUGCAGUUGGUCUGGUGACUAUAGUGUCCUUUAAAAUUGUUGUGGAAUACAUGGUCACCCCUCGUUUCAAAUGAAUUGAGCUGUCUAACUGUGGAUUCCCAUCUGUAGCUGGACUGCAGCUUCCAUAAUCCUUUCCAUGCAGUAGGAUGGCAGAGAAUGAGUUAUAGUCCCAAGGGUUUGGACGGCAGUUAUAUUUAAUGGACGUUGAGGAGCUCUGAGACAGACCGUUAAGUGUAUCUUUUGAUAUGUAGGAAUUAGCUUUCUCCAAAUGCAGUGUCAUGCCCAGGAGUGAAAGCACCUUUUUUCACUCGUGAUUGAUAUCCCACAAAUAAAUAAAUGUAUGGGUGCCUCUCUCACAAGUGUCUUUAGCAGUUAAAGCGUUACUCCAAUCAUCAUAACUACUGCAACUGUCUGUAGUGAUUGAUCCAAGGUUGGUUGCCCAGGUAUUGGCGCAAACCAUUUAGCGAUGGUUUUCCACCUUAUCUGGAUAGUUGCCAAGCUCUGAUGCUCCAUGGUGGCCUGGUGAUGGACUUUCAUUGGCUGAGAGAAUCAGCUGACAAUCCAGCUCGGAACUCUAGUCCCAUGCUGGCCAUGGACAUCCUGGUGAAGUUGCUACAGGUGGAGGUACAGCUCCAGCAGCAGAGGAGGGGUUAAACACCAUCCUAACAGUAUUUCACAGUGAAACUCUGUACAUACAGGCUCCAGACCACCUCUUCAAAUUACUGGAGUGGUCAUGGUGCUUGGACUAACCCUUUAAAAGAAGCUCUUCCCAAGUUAAAUAUUAAUUUCAAUUUAGGUAUACCAGUAACUGGUAGUUUGCCAUCAUACCCCACCGUGAUCUUCUUCAGUAUUUGAUAGUAUCUAUGUGCUAUGUUGCUUUCUAUGCAAAAUAUUAUUAAAGUUGUGACACAAAAAGAGCACCCAAACUCCAUGCUUCUCUGUUAAUCUACACAUUUGACAUGAUCUGAUAGGCAUGUUGUUGUAAUGUGACCGACGCGGUAUUGGUCGCUGCAUUUUACAUUGCAUUUCGCUUAGAGAUAAUUUGAUUUCUGGAAGAAUGUAGUUUGAUUAUGGUUUUCUUCCACUGUACUGAAGAGAGCAGGAUAAAUAUUUGAUUUCUUGAUCAGUGACAUUUGGGGCAUUAACAUAUAUAGCACAUUUCUAUAUUUCUAAUUGGGGACCAUAUAUAUAAAAUGGAGAUUAGUUAUUUAGGUUUCUCCUUUUCAUUUUUAAUUAUAGCCCAAACGGUGAUGGCUCAUUUAUUGGCAUUACACAUUACUUGUUCUUUAUCAGUGACUUGGGACUAUCCUAUAGGUUGUAAGAGGACCUUGCAUCCAAUCGCGUCAGCCAAUAGGAAACUGGGAAUUACCGGAGCUUCUUAAUGGGACACUAAAGGCAACCAAACCACUUCAUCUCAUUGAAGUGGUCUGGGUGCAGUGUCCCAGGUCCCUUAACUCUGCAAAGUUAAUUAUUCCUGUUUCUAAGAAACUGCAAUAAUUACCUUUCAGGGAUAACUCCACCUCUAGUCCUGCAAUGUAAAACAGACUGCAGACAGUCAACAGAGGCACUUCCCGGAGUUUCAUAGAGUUUGACUCCAUGAAAUGAUGCUGGAUGUCCUCCUGCUCUCUAUGAGGACGUCCAGCAGAUGACUGUGACCCAGGGCCAAUGGACGAAGGUGCUGAAAUGGGGUAAUCAGGUUAGUUUUUGUGAAAUCUUUUUAUUCUGAACACUAAUGUGUUCGUUUUAAAGUAGAGCUCUGUUUUAAUUAAUUUGGGAAUAAUAAUUAUCCAGUCCUAUAUGCUCAUGACUUCAAAAAUCUAUCCUUUUACCAUUAAGAUACACCCUGACUCUAUAGGGUGCUGUGUAUUAUAAUUUAAUUUAUCUAUUAUCUGCUAAUAAUUGGACAGUGAAACCUUACAUAUAGCCAUAUUUGAUUCUGAAGUGUGUGCCAUUAAAUUUUUUUUACAUAUUCAUUCACUCCUUCCUAACAUGAAUUUGCAUUUGUUACAUUAAAUAUUGGUUUUGAUAUUGUAAACUGAAUUCAUUUUGUCCAUUUACUUUGUAAUUGAUUUUUUGAAUUACCAUGAAACGUUAAGUGUAGAGCUCUAUUUCCAAGCUUUGAUUGCCCAGAAAUUGAAUCUAUGUCUGGGAAUAUGUCAGUGUUUAACCCCUUUAAGAACCAAAUAUUACACUAUGCUGUCAUUACAUCCUUUGUCCUUGUAUACUCAGUGUCGUAAUGUAAAGGCUCUGGCACUAAUAUUCAGUCCUAUAGGAUUAAAAAUAACCCCGCAAUCUCUGUAUUCUAGUGAUCACAUGCAAUUUCCCUUCUUCCCAGUUCCUCGUAUUGCUAACAGUUUCUCGUACAACACACAGUGUUAAAGCCACUACUUACUGUGCAAUGGAGCCAGGACAUGCCUGACUCCAUAACCGCUACAACGGUGCAUAGCGGACUCCAGCUAGGUUUACCCUGGGAAAGUGCUUGUGCAUCCCAGGCACCAUAACCACUACAGCCUCCUGUAUUUGUUUUUGCGUGUACCUGUAAACAAAGCAAUUUUUGUAAAGCCUUGAUAGAAC
rnacentral:lncRNA from 1 species